rnacentral:lncRNA from 1 species
UGCGACACUAUUUGGGUUUCUCCCGGAAUUUGUGUUCACCGGAUUGCAAUUCUUAGAUCCCAAAUAAACACUUUGUCCCUUAAACUGGUUUCUGUUUUUGUAGGAUGAUAAAGUGUUCCUGGUAAACAGUGUUUAGUUCCAGAUUCAACGACUGACUCAGGUAGCUCAGUCUUAGAGCUUGGGUCCUCCUGCUAUGCUCCCCUCAUACCUGUGCUAUGCAUUUUGCAAGUGCAUAAUCAGAAAGAGAUGCAACAACAGCAGAGAGAAAGAUACACAGCAGACAAGUAAGCUGCUACUACGUGUCAGACUCAGUCCUUUCCUUCAAGGAACUCACAGUCAAGAAGAGGUAAGAACUCACAGACAAGAGAGGCAAGAAAAGAGAAAAUUACAAUGCAGUGUGAUGAAUACAAUGAUGGGACAAACACACCCACACUUAUGCCAACAUAUAUAGGUGAAAUUUAUCCAGCCAUGAGUGGUCAAGGGAAGCUCCCAAGAGUAGGUAUUAUCUAUGCAAAUAUCUAAAGAUAAGUAGGAAUUAGCCAAGUAAAGAUGGGAGGAGAUGCUUGAGUCAGAUGAAUAGCACAUGAAAAGGUCAAGGGUGUGAGGAAACACUGUGUGUUAAAGGACUUACAAGAUUUUCAGGAUGCUUUUAGCAAGAAUGGAGGAGUCUGAAGAGAUUGGGCUGCCACUGAAGCAGGGCCCAGGCUGCCAAAGGCCUUGAAAGUGAUAUAAAGAAUUUGGACUUGAUCUUCAAUCCGUCUGUGGAAAAUUUAAAGUAGAGAAAUGCCUUAGUCAGAUUUGUGUUUUAGAAGGAUUACCAACUACAAAGAAGAAAGGCUGGAGGUGGCAAAACAAGAGGCAGGCAGACUAAUUGGAAGGCAAAAAAGAACAAUGACCUCUUGGGUACAGAUGGCAGUGUUUUAGUAUAUUGGAUAGGUUAGAAAGAUACGAAGGAAUUAAGUGGACUUUGUGAGAGAACAAAUGUGGAGGCAAGGGAGAUAAAAAUGAUGACAGGUUUUGAGUUUGGCCAAUUGGGUAUAUUAUGGACAUAGGUGUUAGCGCCUAUAAACAUAGGUUCCCUAUACACCAUACAAGAGGGGCCAAAUAAAAACUGUAACGCCAGGCUUAUGGCA